GAUGAACGCUGGCGGCGUGCUUAACACAUGCAAGUCGAACGAAGCAUUUAGAACAGAUUAUUUCGGUAUGAAGUUCUUUAUGACUGAGUGGCGGACGGGUGAGUAACGCGUGGGUAACCUGCCUUGUACUGGGGGAUAGCAGCUGGAAACGGCUGGUAAUACCGCAUAAGCGCACGGUGCUGCAUGGCACAGUGUGAAAAACUCCGGUGGUAUAAGAUGGACCCGCGUCUGAUUAGCUAGUUGGUGAGAUAACAGCCCACCAAGGCGACGAUCAGUAGCCGACCUGAGAGGGUGACCGGCCACAUUGGGACUGAGACACGGCCCAAACUCCUACGGGAGGCAGCAGUGGGGAAUAUUGCACAAUGGGGGAAACCCUGAUGCAGCGACGCCGCGUGAGUGAUGACGGCC
rnacentral:rRNA from 1 species